GGGGAUCAGGAGAGGAGAGAGUAUCAGGGAACGGUGUGUGUGCCAUGUUUCAGGGUUUUAAUAGAUGAGUAUGAAUCACAGGAUCUGUGAGGCACCGGUCAUUACAAAGCACUUACAGUGUAUCAGAGUAGAUCAAGUCGUUUGCAUGCCUCGUUAUACGGUUACCGCACAGUCAUUAUUUUAGUCAUUUAGAAUUAAGAUCAUUUUAAAAUCCUAAUCCUGGUCAUCCAUACAUAUCAGAGUUCACUGUUACUGUAUUCUGAGGUGGCAGCAGUACAUAUCAGAGUUCACUGUUACUGUAAUCUGAGGUGGCAGCAGUACAUAUCAGAGUUCACUGUUACUGUAAUCUGAGGUGGCAGCAGUACAUGCAGAGUUCACUGUUACUGUAUUCUGAGGUGGCAGCAGUACAUAUCAGAGUUCACUGUAAUCUGAGGUGGCAGCAGUACAUAUCAGAGUUCACUGUUA
ensembl:lncRNA